CCUACGGGAGGCAGCAGUGAGGAAUAUUGGUCAAUGGGCGGAAGCCUGAACCAGCCAAGUAGCGUGAGGGAUGACGGCCCUACGGGUCGUAAACCUCUUUUGCACGGGGAUAACACCCUCCACUUAUACUGGUCUGCAUGUACCGUACGAAUAAGGAUCGGCUAAUUCCGUGCCAGCAGCCGCGGUAAUACGGAGGGUCCGAGCGUUAUCCGGAUUUAUUGGGUUUAAAGGGGGCGUAGGCGGGCGUUUAAGUCAGCUGUAAAAUUUCGGGGCUCAACCGCGCCUCGCAGUUGAUACUGGGCGCCUUGAGUUCACAAGAGGUAGGCGGAAUUCGUGGUGUAGCGGUGAAAUGCAUAGAUAUCACGAAGAACUCCGAUUGCGAAGGCAGCCUGCCGGGGUGUGACUGACGCUGAGGCUCGAAGGUGUGGGUAUCAAACAGGAUUAGAUACCCGGGUAGUC
rnacentral:rRNA from 1 species